UACGUAGGGGGCAAGCGUUGUCCGGAAUCAUUGGGCGUAAAGCGCGUGUAGGCGGCCCGGUAAGUCCGCUGUGAAAGUCGGGGGCUCAACCCUCGAAAGCCGGUGGAUACUGUCGGGCUCGAGUACGGGAGAGGCGAGUGGAAUUCCUGGUGUAGCGGUGAAAUGCGCAGAUAUCAGGAAGAACACCCGUGGCGAAGGCGGCUCUCUGGGACGGUACUGACGCUGAGACGCGAAAGCGUGGGGAGCGAACAGG
rnacentral:rRNA from 1 species